rnacentral:rRNA from 1 species
GCACAGCGGUGAGUAUGUGUUUAAUUCGAUGCAACGCGAAGAACCUUACCUGGUCUUGACAUCCCGGAGACCCUUAGGAAACUAGGGGGUGCUUCCAUCUGGAAGAAUCUGGAGGCAGGUGCUACAUGGCUGUCGUCAGCUCGUGUCGUGAGAUGUUGGGUUAAGUCCCGCAACGAGCGCAACCCUUGCCUUUUAGUUGCCAGCAGUUCGGCUGGGCACUCUAAAGGGACUGCCGGUGUUAAACCGGAGGAAGGUGGGGAUGACGUCAAGUCCUCAUGGCCUUUAUGACCAGGGCUACACACGUACUACAAUGGCCGAUACAAAGGGCAGCGACACUGCGAGGUGAAGCCAAUCCCGUAAAAUCGGUCUCAGUCCGGAUUGGAGUCUGCAACUCGACUCCAUGAAGUUGGAAUCGCUAGUAAUCGUGGAUCAGCAUGCCACGGUGAAUACGUUCCCGGGCCUU